GUAGGGGAAAAUGAAGCAAUUUCAGUCCUGCUUCAAUCUGUUAGCAAGUUCAUCUAUUGAAUUUUUCUCUUUUUCUUCUCUUUUUCCUUUUUCGAUUUUACAAUUCUUUU